UACGAAGGGGGCUAGCGUUGCUCGGAAUUACUGGGCGUAAAGCGCACGUAGGCGGCUCUUUUAAGUCGGGGGUGAAAUCCUGGAGCUCAACUCCAGAACUGCCUUCGAUACUGUAGAGCUUGAGUUCGGGAGAGGUGAGUGGAACUGCGAGUGUAGAGGUGAAAUUCGUAGAUAUUCGCAAGAACACCAGUGGCGAAGGCGGCUCACUGGCCCGAUACUGACGCUGAGGUGCGAAAGCCAGGGGAGCAAACGGGG
rnacentral:rRNA from 1 species